GCUUAACACAUGCAAGUCGAACGAUGAUGCUGGUGCUUGCACUGGUGGAUUAGUGGCGAACGGGUGAGUAACACGUGAGUAACCUGCCCCUGACUUCGGGAUAAGCCCGGGAAACUGGGUCUAAUACCGGAUAUGACUUCCUGCUGCAUGGCAGGGGGUGGAAAGAUUUAUCGGUUGGGGAUGGACUCGCGGCCUAUCAGCUUGUUGGUGAGGUAAUGGCUCACCAAGGCGACGACGGGUAGCCGGCCUGAGAGGGUGACCGGCCACACUGGGACUGAGACACGGCCCAGACUCCUACGGGAGGCAGCAGUGGGGAAUAUUGCACAAUGGGCGAAAGCCUGAUGCAGCGACGCCGCGUGAGGGAUGACGGCCUUCGGGUUGUAAACCUCUUUCAGUAGGGAAGAAGCCCCUUUUGGGGGUGACGGUACUUGCAGAAGAAGCGCCGGCUAACUACGUGCCAGCAGCCGCGGUAAUACGUAGGGCGCAACGUUAUCCGGAAUUAUUGGGCGUUAAAGAGCUCGUAGGCGGUUUGUCGCGUCUGCCGUGAAAGUCCGAGGCUCAACCUCGGAUCUGCGGUGGGUACGGGCAGACUAGAGUGAUGUAGGGGAGACUGGAAUUCCUGGUGUAGCGGUGAAAUGCGCAGAUAUCAGGAGGAACACCGAUGGCGAAGGCAGGUCUCUGGGCAUUUACUGACGCUGAGGAGCGCGAAGCAUGGGGAGCGAACAGGAUUAGAUACCCUGGUA
rnacentral:rRNA from 1 species